rnacentral:rRNA from 1 species
GACGAACGCUGGCGGCGUGCCUAAUACAUGCAAGUUGAGCGAUGAAGAUUGGUGCUUGCACCAAUUUGAAGAGCAGCGCACGGGUGAGUAACGCGUGGGGAAUCUGCCUUUGAGCGGGGGACAACAUUUGGAAACGAAUGCUAAUACCGCAUAACAACUUUAAACAUAAGUUUUAAGUUUGAAAGAUGCAAUUGCAUCACUCAAAGAUGAUCCCGCGUUGUAUUAGCUAGUUGGUGAGGUAAAGGCUCACCAAGGCGAUGAUACAUAGCCGACCUGAGAGGGUGGUCGGCCACCUUGGGACUGAGACACGGCCCAAACGCCUACGGGAGGCAGCAGUAGGGAAUCUUCGGCCAUGGGCGGAAGUCUGACCGAGCAACGCCGCGUGAGUGAAGAAGGUUUUCGGAUCGUAAAACUCUGUUGGUAGAGAAGAACGUUGGUGAGAGUGGAAAGCUCAUCAAGUGACGGUAACUACCCAGAAAGGGACGGCUAACUACGUG